rnacentral:rRNA from 1 species
GUAACGGAGGAGCACGAAGGUUGGCUAAUCCUGGUCGGACAUCAGGAGGUUAGUGCAAUGGCAUAAGCCAGCUUGACUGCGAGCGUGACGGCGCGAGCAGGUGCGAAAGCAGGUCAUAGUGAUCCGGUGGUUCUGAAUGGAAGGGCCAUCGCUCAACGGAUAAAAGGUACUCCGGGGAUAACAGGCUGAUACCGCCCAAGAGUUCAUAUCGACGGCGGUGUUUGGCACCUCGAUGUCGGCUCAUCACAUCCUGGGGCUGAAGUAGGUCCCAAGGGUAUGGCUGUUCGCCAUUUAAAGUGGUACGCGAGCUGGGUUUAGAACGUCGUGAGACAGUUCGGUCCCUAUCUGCCGUGGGCGCUGGAGAAUUGAGGGGGGCUGCUCCUAGUACGAGAGGACCGGAGUGGACGCAUCACUGGUGUUCGGGUUGUCAUGCCAAUGGCACUGCCCGGUAGCUAAAUGCGGAAGAGAUAAGUGCUGAAAGCAUCUAAGCACGAAACUUGCCCCGAGAUGAGUUCUCCCUGACUCCUUGAGAGUCCUGAAGGAACGUUGAAGACGACGACGUUGAUAGGCCGGGUGUGUAAGCGCAGCGAUGCGUUGAGCUAACCGGUACUAAUGAACCGUGAGGCUUAACCUU